UGAGCCCUGCAGUCUGUCUGGAUGUGGUUUAAGAUUGGACCACACACAGAUCUGCAGGUUGAGUUCUUCCUCACAGUUCGGCUUGGUAAAGACUUCGUGGCCUUAAAUGAGCUGGGCCUCUCCUUUUAUCUUUAUUUAAUUAGCCAUUUCAUUUUUUUUCUGCUCCUGAAGAUUGAAUCUGGGCCCUUGUGCCUGCUAGGCAAGCACUCUACCACUGAGCCACACAGCCAGCCAAAGCCUGGCUGUCAGUGGGGUGCACACGGCUGUAACCCCGGAAAAGAAGGAGAAGCCAGGGAAGCAUUUGGGAGGUGGCUUCGAUGAGGAGCUAUGGUCCCCCUCCUCCACCGUGCAAUCUGUAGAUUCAUUCCCAGGCCAAGAGCUGUUCCCGGCCAGCAAGUCAGAAGCGUUGGCAUGUUUUAUCUGGGCCAGGACAGCCCGCAGGCAGCCCCUGGCCCAGGCCACACUGAAUGCUUUAGUACUGUGAAUGAACCACAGCGGGGAGAUAGGGCCGUGCGGAUCUGUGGACACUAAGCAUUCACGUGGCUGAAGAGCUGAAUGGACAGGAAACACCAGCCUGGGAGGAUGACAGGAUGACCAAAGUUGUCAUAGGCUGCACUGAGAAGCAUCUGCCACCCUCUGGAGCAGAAUGACCUACCCGCGGCUUUUGUUCUUGUGUCUUUUUACACAAAGAACUGAAGUACAGCUGUUGAGACACGUGCAUCGCCAUGUCUGCAGAGAAGACGCCCGGCUACAGCAAGGCAUCCAUCGUCUACCCACGACGGAAUCUUUCAGUCCCUAGCCUCGCCUGCUACAUCGUACCAGCCUUGUCUGCCACCUUGUGGCUAAAUGUCACCUCUGCGCUUAGUGACAACAGCAGGCAGGUUCGAAUAUAAGGAUUUUCCAGACCAGGGCUGUCUCCCGCUACUCGGUGAACUCUUCUGACAUCUUCCCAAACAGCUUGGAAGUUGCAGUUGCUGCUAAAAACAAAACAAAACAAAAAAACAAAACAGUAAGGGAGAGGAUCGUGAGGAGAGAGCUCCGGAGAGCAAGGAAACCCUUUAACGGCUUCGGCUGCGCGCUGGGCACCUGAUACGGAGGCGACUGUGUACUUCCGGCUUCGACCCCCACAACUCCUGAACGUGGAGGAACAGUUCUCACAGGCCGAGGGUGGAGCUAGGAAAUGGUGCGUUUACACUGUAAAGUUUGAUGAUUUCUUCUCCUAGGGAAGGGGGAAUUAGAUGGAGGAGACCUUCUAGCACCCACCAAGAGCUCAGGUAACAGCCGUGUUAGAGAGCAUCUCGGGGUGCGCAUGUGCAUGGGACUCACCAAAUGGAAUCUGCAGCACCAUUAAGCAAGGCAUAGCCACAGCUGACCUGAGCUCAAAACCCCACGCAGUCAUUUUCACGGAGGGAGGCAGCCAGAGCUUGCAGCUCAGCAGGAAAAAAAAAAAAAAUCUGUGUUGACAACCAUAUUGGAGCCUCAACCGUGAGACCUACUGUUGCUACUACACUGUUAUGUAAUCUUACACACCAAAACGUGAUUGGAUUUCAGACCCACACUUGACAGACCAUUUCUUAUGUCUGGCCUUGCUUGUAGCUCUAAUCGGAAGCCAGACGCAGACAGUAACACGGGAGUAUGGCCGGAGACCAUAUGGUGUGGGGGGCUUCCCGCUGCAUUGGAUGCUAAAAGUCCUCACAUUUCCCAAACCUGUCCAUCUGCUGUUUCAUCUGCAGUUACGUCCACUGGCGUGACUUCAACCAGCUCGCACCUACUUAGAAAAGCAUAUGUCUAAAGUUAUGAAAUGCGAUUUACGCGAACUGGUUAAACAUAGGCCGUGUGAGCCUUGAAAGAGAAACUUUCCGCAGAACAAAACCCAGCUAUAGAGGAUGUUCUCACUGGGACAGCCGGGAAAGACUGAGUCACCCGAAGGUCGCAAGGACGGUUAUGAUGGCAUGGCCUCCAGCGGAGGAACCAGUGGAACACAAAGCGGUAAAUCAAAGCGAUAUCAUCAAAUGAUAUCAACAAACACGCCAGUGCGCCCAACUCUCUGAUGACGACACUCUACUGUGAACGAGCAGAUACGGAGCAGUGGACCAAGCAGAUUAGAAAUUCAUGGAGUUUACAUGCCUGGUCUACAUAGUUAAGUUCUAGGACUGUUACACAGAGAGACUCUGUCUCAAGCCAACCAACCAAAUAAAUAAAUAUUUUUCUUUAA